rnacentral:sRNA from 1 species
UGCAUCUGCAACUCAUGAGGAUGAGAACCUCCGGGGGCAGGGAGGUUCGACUCGAGCGAAGCGAGAGAACGUUGCGCCAGCAACGGCCCGCAGGGCGAGCCACGAAGUGGCGAGUAAUCCUCUAUCACCGACCA